rnacentral:rRNA from 1 species
CGCAGCGAUGCGUUGAGCUAACCCGUACUAAUGGACCGUGAGGCUUAACCUUACAACGCCGAAG